rnacentral:rRNA from 1 species
UACGUAGGUGGCAAGCGUUAUCCGGAAUUAUUGGGCGUAAAGCGCGCGCAGGCGGUUUCUUAAGUCUGAUGUGAAAGCCCACGGCUCAACCGUGGAGGGUCAUUGGAAACUGGGGAACUUGAGUGCAGAAGAGAAAAGCGGAAUUCCACGUGUAGCGGUGAAAUGCGUAGAGAUGUGGAGGAACACCAGUGGCGAAGGCGACUCUCUGGUCUGUAACUGACGCUGAGGCGCGAAAGCGUGGGGAGCAAACAGG